rnacentral:rRNA from 1 species
GCUCAUCACAGCCUGGGGCUGAAGUAGGUCCCAAGGGUAUGGCUGUUCGCCAUUUAAAGUGGUACGCGAGCUGGGUUUAGAACGUCGUGAGACAGUUCGGUCCCUAUCUGCCGUGGGCGCUGGAGAAUUGAGGGGGGCUGCUCCUAGUACGAGAGGACCGGAGUGGACGCAUCACUGGUGUUCGGGUUGUCAUGCCAAUGGCACUGCCCGGUAGCUAAAUGCGGAAGAGAUAAGUGCUGAAAGCAUCUAAGCACG